rnacentral:rRNA from 1 species
UACGUAGGGGGCAAGCGUUGUCCGGAAUCAUUGGGCGUAAAGCGCGUGUAGGCGGGUUGGUAAGUCCGCUCUGAAAGCCCGGGGCUCAACCCCGGGAGGCGGGUGGAUACUGUCGGCCUCGAGUCCGGAAGAGGCGAGUGGAAUUCCUGGUGUAGCGGUGAAAUGCGCAGAUAUCAGGAGGAACACCAAUGGCGAAGGCAGCUCGCUGGGACGGUACUGACGCUGAGACGCGAAAGCGUGGGGAGCAAACAGG